AGUGGGGAAUAUUGCACAAUGGGCGAAAGCCUGAUGCAGCGACGCCGCGUGAGGGAUGACGGCCUUCGGGUUGUAAACCUCUUUCAGCAGGGAAGAAGCCACAAGUGACGGUACCUGCAGAAGAAGCGCCGGCUAACUACGUGCCAGCAGCCGCGGUAAUACGUAGGGCGCAAGCGUUGUCCGGAAUUAUUGGGCGUAAAGAGCUCGUAGGCGGUUUGUCGCGUCUGCUGUGAAAGCCCGGGGCUUAACCCCGGGUGUGCAGUGGGUACGGGCAGACUAGAGUGCAGUAGGGGAGACUGGAAUUCCUGGUGUAGCGGUGGAAUGCGCAGAUAUCAGGAGGAACACCGAUGGCGAAGGCAGGUCUCUGGGCUGUUACUGACGCUGAGGAGCGAAAGCAUGGGGAGCGAA
rnacentral:rRNA from 1 species